rnacentral:rRNA from 1 species
CGGCCCCGGCUGGCGCGUGCCCGCCAGAGACCUCACAGACUCUGAAUGUUAGUGUCGUCCGAGUAACUAUACAAUCGUUAAAACUUUCAACAACGGAUCUCUUGGUUCUGGCAUCGAUGAAGAACGCAGCGAAAUGCGAUAAGUAAUGCGAAUUGCAGAAUUCAGUGAGUCAUCGAAUCUUUGAACGCACAUUGCGCCCUGUGGUAUUCCGCAGGGCAUGCCUGUUCGAGCGUCAUUUCAACCCUCAAGCCUCGCUUGGUGUUGGGCCCUGCCCGCCGCGGCCGGCCCUAAAGAUAGUGGCGGCGCCGCCUGGCCCUCAGCGUAGUACAGCUCUCGCUCCAGGGUCCGGCGGCAGCCUGCCAGAACCCCCCAACUCUGUGGUUGACCUCGGAUCAGGUAGGGAUACCCGCUGAACUUAAGCAUAUCAACUACACGCGGAGGAACGAGGGGCCCCUGUGCCCCUGGGCCCGUGCCCGCCAGAGCGCCCUUGAACCCUCAUGAAGAUGGACUGUCUGAGCGUGAUUGAUAAUAAUCAAAACUUUCAACAAUGGAUCUCUUGGUUCCGGCAUCGAUGAAGGAACGCAGCGAAAUUGCGAUAAGUAAAUGUGAAUUGCAGAAUUCCGUGAAUCAUCGAAUCUUUGAACGCACAUUGCG